AAGAACAGGCAGGGCCUCAGAUUCAAUGAGUUCAAUUUUGUGCUCAACACCAGCUUUCUUUAUGAUUGGUAAUCCGAUUUGAUCAUAUGGCUCACGAUGUGCAUCUAUGGCUACAAUCUGCAGUACGGUAUUUUUUUUUUUAGCUUAGAAAAUCAGGAUAUGUCAGAUACUAAAUAACUAGUAACAGACCUUGCCAUCCUCAGGAAGUGUAAGAGCAGUGAGGAGAAGAGAGUAUCCGGUAAAAACUCCAACUUCAAUCGUCUUCUUUGCAUCCACUAGCCCCAACAGCAUGGUCAUCAACUGGCCGGCAUCUGGGGCAGUUCCCA
rnacentral:lncRNA from 1 species